AGCGAACGUUAGCGGCGGGCCUAACACAUGCAAGUCGAACGCGAAAGGUCUUCGGACUGAGUAGAGUGGCGCACGGGUGAGUAACACGUAGGUAAUCUACCCUUUGGCGGGGGAUAACGUUCCGAAAGGAGCGCUAAUACCGCAUAAGACCACGGAGUCUCCGGACGCUGUGGGGAAAAAGGUGGCCUCUUCUUGAAAGCUACCACCGAAGGAUGAGCCUGCGUCCCAUCAGCUAGUUGGUAAGGUAAUGGCUUACCAAGGCGAAGACGGGUAGCUGGUUUGAGAGAAUGAUCAGCCACACUGGCACUGGAACACGGGCCAGACUCCUACGGGAGGCAGCAGUGAGAAAUAUUGGGCAAUGGGCGAAAGCCUGACCCAGCCACGCCGCGUGAGUGAUGAAGGCCCUCGGGUCGUAAAGCUCUGUGGAGAGGGACGAAAACCCUGGUUUACAAUAGGCUCCAGGCUUGACGGUACCUCUUUAGCAAGCACCGGCUAACUCUGUGCCAGCAGCCG
rnacentral:rRNA from 1 species